CUAUUUUUUUCUAAAUAACCUUCAAAAAUAUUAUAAUUGGAUAAAUAACCCUACAGAAAAAAAAUAUUUUGCAAAAUAAUCCUCCUUUUGCCAAGUCGGCGUGGAAGUAGAAUUUUAUUUUAAAAACAGUAAAUUGUUCACCGUCUUUAUUCUUAAAGAUUAUUUCUUAAAUUUUUUUAUGUUGUUAAGAUUGUACGUAAUUUAUUAAAAUUUUUAUAUGGCUAUUAGAAUUAUAUAUAAAAAAUUAAAAAAUAUGAUUCGUUGAAAUUUUUAUAUAGUUGUUAUGAUUACAUAUGAAAAAUAUAAAAAAAAGUGAGGUUGUUAGGAUUUUAUGUAGAUUAUUAAAAUUUUUAUUUGAUUGUUAGGAUUGUAUGGAUAAAUUAUUAAAAUAUUUAGGUUAUUAAGAUUGUAUUAAUUUGUUAAAUUGUUUAUAUAGUUGUUAGAAUAUAUAUAUAGAAAAUAAAAAGAAAGAGGAGAAAAGAUGGUGAAUGAUUGACUACAUUUAUAGAAAAUUAGAAGACGGUGAAUGAUUCACUGUCUUUAUAAAGUCGGUGAACGAUUCGUCACCUUUAAAAAAAAAAUCCACCUUGGUACCUAAUUGGCAAAAAUAGAAUUAGUUUGCAAAUUUUUAUUUUUUCAGAGGAUAUUUUACUCAAAUAUAAAUUUUUAUAAAGUUAUUUCGACA
rnacentral:lncRNA from 1 species